rnacentral:rRNA from 1 species
CCCUUAGAUGUUCUGGGCCGCACGCGCGCUACACUGAUCGGUGCAACAAGCAUCCGUCCUUGGCCGACAGGCCCGGGCAAUCUUUGAACGCCGGUCGUGAUGGGGAUAGACCUUUGCAAUUUUUGGUCUUCAACGAGGAAUUCCUAGUAAACGCAAGUCAUCAACUUGCAUUGAUUACGUCCCUGCCCUUUGUACACACCGCCCGUCGCACCUACCGAUUGAAUGGUCCGGUGAAGCCUCCGGAUUGGCGCGCACCCCGGUGCCGCCGAGAAGUUGGCUAAACCUUACCAUUUAGAGGAAGGUGAAGUCGUAACA